rnacentral:rRNA from 1 species
AACGAACGCUGGCGGCAGGCUUAACACAUGCAAGUCGAGCGCCUCGCAAGAGGAGCGGCAGACGGGUGAGUAACGCGUGGGAAUCUACCGUGCCCUACGGAAUAGCUCCGGGAAACUGGAAUUAAUACCGUAUACGCCCUUCGGGGGAAAGAUUUAUCGGGGUAUGAUGAGCCCGCGUUGGAUUAGCUAGUUGGUGGGGUAAAGGCCUACCAAGGCGACGAUCCAUAGCUGGUCUGAGAGGAUGAUCAGCCACAUUGGGACUGAGACACGGCCCAAACUCCUACGGGAGGCAGCAGUGGGGAAUAUUGGACAAUGGGCGCAAGCUUGAUCCAGCCGUGCCGCGUGAGUGAUGAAGGCCCUAGGGUUGUAAAGCUCUUUCACCGGUGAAGAUAAUGACGGUAACCGGAGAAGAAGCCCCGGCUAACUUCGUGCCAGCCGCCGCUGUAA